GACUACAGGGGUAUCUAAUCCUGUUUGCUCCCCACGCUUUCGCGCCUCAGCGUCAGGGCAAGUCCAGUGUGCUGUCUUCACCUUCGGCGUUCCUCUUGAUAUCUACGCAUUCCACCGCUCCACCAAGAGUUCCACACACCCCUACUUGCCUCAAGACCAGUAGUUUGCCGAGCCAUUCCCCGGUUAAGCCGGGGUAUUUCACAAGACACUUUCUGAUCCGCCUACGCGCCCUUUAAGCCCAGUGAUUCCGAACAACGCUUGCCACCUUCGUAUUACCGCGGCUGCUGGCACGAAGUUAGCCGUGACUUCCUCUGGGACCGAUCAAUCGAAACUUUCUAGUCCCUGACAGUAGUUUACAUCCCGAAGGACUUCAUCCUACACGCGGCGUCGCUGGGUCAGGCUUUCGCCCAUUGCCCAAUAUUCGUUACUGCAGCCCCCCGUAGG
rnacentral:rRNA from 1 species